UGGGGAAUUUUGGACAAUGGGGGCAACCCUGAUCCAGCAAUGCCGCGUGUGUGAAGAAGGCCUUCGGGUUGUAAAGCACUUUUGUCCGGAAAGAAAACGCCGUGGUUAAUACCCGUGGCGGAUGACGGUACCGGAAGAAUAAGCACCGGCUAACUACGUGCCAGCAGCCGCGGUAAUACGUAGGGUGCAAGCGUUAAUCGGAAUUACUGGGCGUAAAGCGUGCGCAGGCGGUCCGCUAAGACAGAUGUGAAAUCCCCGGGCUUAACCUGGGAACUGCAUUUGUGACUGGCGGGCUAGAGUAUGGCAGAGGGGGGUAGAAUUCCACGUGUAGCAGUGAAAUGCGUAGAGAUGUGGAGGAAUACCGAUGGCGAAGGCAGCCCCCUGGGCCAAUACUGACGCUCAUGCACGAAAGCGUGGGGAGCAAACAGGAUUAGAUACCCUGGUAGUCCACGCCCUAAACGAUGUCAACUAGUUGUCGGGUCUUCAUUGACUUGGUAACGUAGCUAACGCGUGAAGUUGACCGCCUGGGAGUACGGUCGCAAGAUUAAAACUUAAAGGAAUUGACGGGGUCAUAGCUG
rnacentral:rRNA from 1 species